GGUCUGGGAGAGUGGCGUAUCUUGCUGAGGGCUGCGGUAUUUUUUUUUAUACCGGUUAAACUAUGCCAUCGGAUUAAAGCCGUAUAUUCAUUAACUAUUUCCUGACCAGAUCAAGCCUGACACUAAAAACAUGAGUAACGUUGCAGAGAUUAAGAUAAACCUCUACUGAAAAUGAAAUGGGAAAAUUUCAGAUGACUAUAUAUGGAAAUGUGCUUAAGAGAGUUUAUGUCUCUUUAAGAAAUGGAGAUCUAUAUGUGGAUUCUCCACCCUGUUUCUUUGUGUUAUGCACCUCUCCUUAUGCCAGGGCCACACUGCCUUAAUCACAUCACAGCUUUCUAGUACCAAAAAAUCAGAAGAUGUUGGACAGAAAAACUAUAGGUGGCUGGAGUAUGAAGAGUUCUUUACUCUCAGGCAGAAUAAAUCUCUGGUAUAAGCUCUUGAAAAGAAAUAAAUAACAUGUUUUUGGGCUCUGAAUCAUGCUCAGAAAAUGCAUUUAUUUAAGGAGAAAAAUUUUUGACAACAAACCUUCUUUUGAAUUUCAAGAUUGAGUUUUUCUUUUUAAGCAGUAACAAAAUGACCAGUGAAAUUUUUCAAGACAAGAAAUCUAAUGUUAAAAGAAAAUGUAACCUUUUAUCAACAGAAACCUAAAUCUAGUUAAACUUGAAAAUAUGUAUUUGUUGAGACAGAAAUCUUUUCGGCUCUACUGAAUCACCAAUUCUUGCUUAAAAUAAUGCCC
ensembl:lncRNA